rnacentral:lncRNA from 1 species
GGGCCCUUAAGAAUUUGAGUCCGCCACUGACCGAAGAAUUUCGUAGGGAUAUCCAGGCAGAAUACAGAAAAUCCGCCGAGCUGAACAAUAAGAUCGUCCAUAUGUAUGCGAAAGGAUAUGAAAUCUGCCGAAGUAAAGGCAAGAAAAAGCUCGGGCCAAGGUAGAUCCAUCUCUUCUAGACUCUUUAGAUGGUGACGAUGACAAGGAAGAAGCCUGAAGAUGACCUCUCCUUAUCUCUAGUUGUAGAACUUUCUGUGAAAAUUCUAACUUUAUGUAAACAGUUAAUAUUUAAUGAAAUAUCAACUUCAUGCCUUAUUACUUCUGUGUGAACAUUUCUUGUCAAUAAUGGAUCAUCAAUCAACUUGAAAACUGUGCAAGUGCCUCUUAUUUUAAACCGUUAGUCAAUAAUUAAGCAAGCUAUAUAACAGUUAAGAACAAUGAUAAUAUAAUCCGAACUCAACACUUGAACAAAAUAAAGUAAUGCAUACUUAUCGUUACCGAAGUGUGAGAUCGGUCAUAUGUGAAGUGAAUUCGGCUGAUCCUCCUUGUACCAUCAAGAUCUUGCUCACCACUCGGGGUAGAACAAGUAUAUAAGGACCAAGAUAUAAGGAUCAAGAUAUAAGGACCUUUGUCUACCACUCGGGGUCUGACAAAGUCUAAGAAUGACACUUGCCUACCACGAAAGGCUUGACAAAGUCAAAAGAUGACAUUCGCCUACCAAGAAAGGCCUGACGAAGUCAAAAGGAUCACCUGCCGAAGAGGCUACCAUCGAAUGGUCAGCGAGUCCUCCCGAACCUCCU